UUCUGCAAGUAGAAGCAGGCUUUAUAAUUUAAAAGAUCUGUUGUUGUACAAGGGACAUGAAUUCUUUGCUGUGGGGAUCCAGGAUACACUCACAAUGGACAUUGCAUAGGAAGGCCCAUAGGAAGGCAGAAACUGAUUACAGAGAUGUGGAAAGGAGAAGGAGCUGCAAGGCACAGUAAAACCUCAUCACCACCUGUCCCAGGAACAUGAGGCUCCUCCUGUCUGACAUUGGCGGGGGGGAUGGUGUGCUACUGGACUGGGACUUUUCCAGCAGUAGCAAGAUAACAACGGUUGAGAUGACAAAGACCCCUAAGGAUGGGGACUCCUUAUGACAAACUCCUUUGAGAAUUAGCAUAGCUGGACAAAGAGAAUUCUGUUUGUGACUUUGUAUCUCAGAACCUCAGUCUCUUCAAAUGGCCACCAGAUCCACAUCAGUAUGUGCACCUUCUGGAUGACAGUGACCAGAGAGAAUAUUCUCCCUGGUCACAAAGCUAAGCACUCAAGACACAGAAUAAGGUGAAAGAAAAACCAUUCCUGGUUUUUUACAUAGGGGAUCCACAGCAAAGCUUGACUAAAAAGACACUGGUCUGGUGAGAAUGGUGAACUCACCAAGGUGUGAGGCUGGCUCACCAGCAGGCAGAUAGGAAGUAAGCUUGGGUUCUACUCUGUUGACACAAAAUGAAUAAACCUUUUAGAAUCUCUAAAAGUAAAAAAAAGUUUUAUUCAAGCCCAAGUUAGGUAAACUGCCCAGAAAACAUACUCUUCAUGGGGAAAAAAGUACUCCAGAGAAUGAAUAGUUUUUACAGGGCUAUACACUUUUUUUUUUCUCACAUCUUGUAAAAGCUUAAAGGACUAUAGAUUAGCAUAUAGGCAGGAAUCACGAGUUUUAACAUUGAGGAAUGCAGGGGGUAGAAGCAUUGACUGAUAAUUUUAGGACAGAAUCGUUUUCCUUUAGGCUACUUAUCUACAAAACUGAUGUACAAUAUAUAUUUGGUGGGCCAUAAAUCAGGCUUUUGGUUUAAACAAAGUUUAUGUACAAUCAUACUGACUUAGAAAGAAAUCUAAAAUGGCUUCUCUUAUAUAUCAGGCCUCUAGAGAGGUUUGUUGUUGUUGUUGUUGUUGUUGUUGUUUUUCCCUCUAACUCUACAGCUUCCUCUUUAUGAAAAACUAUAUAGAAGACAGAGGCAAAAGAAAACAAUGACCGUCUCUGGGUGGAAUGAGAUCAGUAACAAACAUAUUUAAAACAAAUCUUUAUCAGAGUCACUAUAUGUAAGGAACUAAUUCACAUGAGUAUUUUCUCCUGCUAAUCUAAAUUUAGAAAAAGAAAAGGACUUUCAUCAUUCUUGCUUCCACCAGACUUUGCAGGCAGAGAUCCAAGAGGCUUUUGUGGAAAGAAUUUCUACCUUAUGCCACCUCUUGUCAGAGGCCCUAAAUUCUCAGCUGCAGCAGCCCUGAGAUGGGCAGCGUCCAGCCAGUGGAGGACCGCAUAUUUGGCGCCAAAACUGUAGAGAAGGAAGACAUUUCCUUUCUUUCCUUCUAGGUUCUUUGACUAGUCUAAUAACUUAAUUGAUGCAAGACAGAUUAAGAGGAGAAAAACAAACUUUGAUGUCACAAAUCUAGAAGCUUAUAGAAAUAUGAGACUCAAAGUGGUGACCAAACAGGCAGCUUUUAGACAAAAGAAUAAAUUCAUAAGGAAUUGACAAGAAAAAGAAAUUUGGGCCUGUGUAGUAAAUUGGUGAAGCAAUAACAAGGUUAGUUUAUAUAGCCUUUCAGCCCUAAGUUCUCUAUCUCUUAUGAUAAAUGUAUCUCUAUAUUCUGGUAUAGGGAGAGUACUUUUCAUAUAGGAGAUUUACCUCUUGCUUUUAAGGGGACAGGGGAGGAUCAACGUGUCAUUCAUUGUACCAGUUCCUUCUUAAGUGAGUUUGAUUCAAAAUGAUCAAUAUGCCAAGUAGCAUAUUUUGGGUUGCCUGCUCUGAAUCUCAUCAAUGGAAAUAGAGAAUAGUUCUUUGUCAACCUUCAUAGUAGUAGUUGAUAUAGGCAGGAGUAAUCUAUGGAUGCUGAAGUUGAUGUGCAGAGGAGGAAAAUUAAUUUCCUCUCUAACUUUUUAGGUUUUUAGCUGAGACUCUUCUACAAUAAGAGACAGAUUAACAAUAGAAAAACAAACAUGUUUAAUAAUAUGUAAACCCCUGUGCAAAUGGAAGAUAUGAAGAAAACUGAGUAACACCUGCAAAUGGCCCAAGACAAUACCUUAAAUACCAUCUUCAGCUAAAGAUGAAAAGAUGGUGGGGAUAGGAGGGAGGAAUGCCAUUAUGGGAGGUUAUCAAGGAAAGUAAACAGGGGUAAAGCUGUUAUAUAGAUUUAAGUAAGUGCCUUCUUCAUUAAUAAGAUUAUCUUGUGAUUUAGAGCCUUCUUUCUCUUCCUGGUACAAAGAGGGAUACACCCUUACAAAUGGAGAUUUUGAUCAUGGGUGAGGGGGGAGAGGCAAACCAAGAAGAGAGGCAAACCACAAGGGUGGUGGGGGCUGGGAAGUGGGAUGGGUUAAAUGGGUGAUCGGUAUUAAGGAGGGAAAUUGUGAUGAGUACCAGGUGUUGUAUGAAAGUGUUGAAUCACUAAAUUGUACACCUGAAACUAAUAUUAUACUGUAUGUUAACUAAGUGGAUUUUAAAUAAAAACUUUAAGGGGCAUCUGGGUAGCUCAGACAGUUAA